rnacentral:rRNA from 1 species
UGCAAGCUCGUUCUCCGAGUCAGUAGUGCAGAUUGACACAGCAGGCUUGCACAGUAGAUAGCGGGCAGAGAGAGCAGCCAGAGUACUGCAAGUAAUUUCAGUCAGUUGGCUCACUAGGCAGUCCACUCUAUGCUUCCUAUUCAUACGUCUGGUUUGUAUGUGAGCAGAUAACGAGAGCACACAGGAAACACACACAGCAAUGAUUACGAAUUCGAGCUAUGUAUCCGAGGUUCCUCUAGAGAUUUGCGAGAUAUCCGGUAGUUCGCGAGGUAGGGGCUCAACAAGCUCAGCGAUGGCUAGACGGCCUGAGAGGGUGAAUGGCCACACGCGCACUGAGUCACGGGCAUGAAUCCCAGGGAGUCAGCACGAAGGAAUAUUGGGCAAUUGGCGCAAGCAUGAUCCAUAGACGCCGCGUGGCGGACGAAGGCUAUCGGGCUUUCACCUCAUAACCCAUAUUCUGAAGGGAACAAGUGAUAUUCCCGUUAGACUUCAGACAAAAAAGUGAGACGAAGUCAUGGCGAACUCCCGGCCAGCAGCCCCGGUAAUUCGCAGACGGCAUCCGAAAUUAGGAAUCACCCGGCUUAAAGCGCAAGUUGGCGGCAAGAUUAGCUGAAGGUGAAAGCCCCUGGUUCACUCAGGGAAGUGCACCCAAUACUGUCAUUUAUGUAUAAGGAAGGGGAAAGUUGAACUCAUAGGGGAGCGGUGAACAACCCGGAGGCAAGGAUCCCGCACGGGACGAAAUGCAUCCAGUGGUCGCCCCGAGGCAAUAGUCCACAAGACAGGGGAGGUUGGGGUAUUAGAUACCUCCCUGGUCCAAACUGUCAACACUGGGCAUCAGGCAGGGGGGUUUACCUCUGCGCCGGAGCAAAAGCAUUAAGUGCCCCGCCUGGGGAGUACGG